GAGGAGAGGCGAACGGGUGAGUAACACGUGGGUAACCUGCCCAUCAGAAGGGGAUAACACUUGGAAACAGGUGCUAAUACCGUAUAACAAUCGAAACCGCAUGGUUUUGAUUUGAAAGGCGCUUUCGGGUGUCGCUGAUGGAUGGACCCGCGGUGCAUUAGCUAGUUGGUGAGGUAACGGCUCACCAAGGCCACGAUGCAUAGCCGACCUGAGAGGGUGAUCGGCCACAUUGGGACUGAGACACGGCCCAAACUCCUACGGGAGGCAGCAGUAGGGAAUCUUCGGCAAUGGACGAAAGUCUGACCGAGCAACGCCGCGUGAGUGAAGAAGGUUUUCGGAUCGUAAAACUCUGUUGUUAGAGAAGAACAAGGAUGAGAGUAACUGUUCAUCCCUUGACGGUAUCUAACCAGAAAGCCACGGCUAACUACGUGCCAGCAGCCGCGGUAAUACGUAGGUGGCAAGCGUUGUCCGGAUUUAUUGGGCGUAAAGCGAGCGCAGGCGGUUUCUUAAGUCUGAUGUGAAAGCCCCCGGCUCAACCGGGGAGGGUCAUUGGAAACUGGGAGACUUGAGUGCAGAAGAGGAGAGUGGAAUUCCAUGUGUAGCGGUGAAAUGCGUAGAUAUAUGGAGGAACACCAGUGGCGAAGGCGGCUCUCUGGUCUGUAACUGACGCUGAGGCUCGAAAGCGUGGGGAGCAAACAGGAUUAGAUACCCUGGUAGUCCACGCCGUAAACGAUGAGUGCUAAGUGUUGGAGGGUUUCCGCCCUUCAGUGCUGCAGCUAACGCAUUAAGCACUCCGCCUGGGGAGUACGACCGCAAGGUUGAAACUCAAAGGAAUUGACGGGGGCCCGCACAAGCGGUGGAGCAUGUGGUUUAAUUCGAAGCAACGCGAAGAACCUUACCAGGUCUUGACAUCCUUUGACCACUCUAGAGAUAGAGCUUCCCCUUCGGGGGCAAAGUGACAGGUGGUGCAUGGUUGUCGUCAGCUCGUGUCGUGAGAUGUUGGGUUAAGUCCCGCAACGAGCGCAACCCUUAUUGUUAGUUGCCAUCAUUCAGUUGGGCACUCUAGCAAGACUGCCGGUGACAAACCGGAGGAAGGUGGGGAUGACGUCAAAUCAUCAUGCCCCUUAUGACCUGGGCUACACACGUGCUACAAUGGGAAGUACAACGAGUCGCGAAGUCGCGAGGCUAAGCUAAUCUCUUAAAGCUUCUCUCAGUUCGGAUUGCAGGCUGCAACUCGCCUGCAUGAAGCCGGAAUCGCUAGUAAUCGCGGAUCAGCACGCCGCGGUGAAUACGU
rnacentral:rRNA from 1 species